rnacentral:rRNA from 1 species
AGUGGAGCUUGCUCCAUGAUUCAGCGGCGGACGGGUGAGUAAUGCCUAGGAAUCUGCCUGGUAGUGGGGGAUAACGUUUCGAAAGGAACGCUAAUACCGCAUACGUCCUACGGGAGAAAGUGGGGGAUCUUCGGACCUCACGCUAUCAGAUGAGCCUAGGUCGGAUUAGCUAGUUGGUGGGGUAAUGGCCCACCAAGGCGACGAUCCGUAACUGGUCUGAGAGGAUGAUCAGUCACACUGGAACUGAGACACGGUCCAGACUCCUACGGGAGGCAGCAGUGGGGAAUAUUGGACAAUGGGCGAAAGCCUGAUCCAGCCAUGCCGCGUGUGUGAAGAAGGUCUUCGGAUUGUAAAGCACUUUAAGUUGGGAGGAAGGGCAGUAAGUUAAUACCUUGCUGUUUUGACGUUACCAACAGAAUAAGCACCGGCUAACUUCGUGCCAGCAGCCGCGGUAAUACGAAGGGUGCAAGCGUUAAUCGGAAUUACUGGGCG